GAGUUUGAUCCUGGCUCAGAACGAACGCUGGCGGCGUGCCUAACACAUGCAAGUCGAACGCGAAAGGGGGGCAACCCCCGAGUAGAGUGGCGCACGGGUGAGUAACACGUGGGUAACCCACCCUUGAGAUCGGGACAACCAGGGGAAACUCUGGCUAAUACCGGAUGUGUCCAGGUUGGCCUCGGCCGGCCUGGAGAAAGGUGGCCUAUGCUUGCAACUCAUCGCUCUUGGACGGGCCCGCGGCCCAUUAGCUAGUUGGUGAGGUAACGGCUCACCAAGGCAGUGAUGGGUAGCUGGUCUGAGAGGAUGAUCAGCCACACUGGGACUGGAACACGGCCCAGACUCCUACGGGAGGCAGCAGUGGGGAAUUUUGCGCAAUGGGGGAAACCCUGACGCAGCAACGCCGCGUGGGUGAUGAAGGCCCUUGGGUCGUAAAGCCCUGUCGGGUGGGAAGAAUCCCUUGGCGGCGAAUAGUCGCCAAGGAUGACGGUACCACUAGAGGAAGCACCGGCUAACUCUGUGCCAGCAGCCGCGGUAAUCCC
rnacentral:rRNA from 1 species